CCUUAGCUGAGGCAGCCCCCCUCCAUUCUGUGGUUCUAUGGGCCCAGGCUCACAAUGCAGCGGAGCAGAGAGAGUUGGUGUGCUGACAGUGCCUGCUCUACUACAGCCAGACAGCAGCAGUACGUACAGCCACUGACAGCUCACAAUGAAGGACACUGCAGCAGUCCCAGUCAUGCACCAGCACAUGGCAAGAUGAGGUUGGCAGCAAGGUCAGCCAUGCUGUCAAGGCUGCUCAGCCUCUGCGCAGAUGGCCAGGAGCAACAGGAUGGAAAGCAUCACACACUCAAACUUCACACUCUUUUUACACUACACUACAAAAUGGGAACAGAGGUCACAGAAAUUGCAAGUUGUCUCACCUCAGUGCAAGGGAGUGAAAAAACAAUGAUCACACAAUGGACAAAAUCAAAAGGUAUGAAGAACAAGAGGACAUCUUAUGGGUAGACAAACAUCAAAGCCAAGAAUAAAACACUAUGUUGAGUAUGUAAGUAGUUAAGUAACAGCAAACUGGUCCUUAGCUGCUGAAAUGUUAAAAUGCACAUUUAAUAACACAGGACACAUUGAGAUGUAUAAUGCUUUUUUCCUAGUUCAACCUAAUAAAAAUUCCCAUAAAACUACUGGCACAUAUCCUGAAACAAGGCAUUGAUGGAGAAUUCG